rnacentral:rRNA from 1 species
GACGAACGCUGGCGGCGUGCUUAACACAUGCAAGUCGAACGAAGAGCGAUGGAAGCUUGCUUCUAUCAAUCUUAGUGGCGAACGGGUGAGCAACGCGUAAUCAACCUGCCCUUCAGAGGGGGACAACAGUUGGAAACGACUGCUAAUACCGCAUACGAUCUAACCUCGGCAUCGAGGAAAGAUGAAAGGUGGCCUCUAUGUAUAAGCUAUCACUGAAGGAGGGGAUUGCGUCUGAUUAGCUAGUUGGAGGGGUAACGGCCCACCAAGGCGAUGAUCAGUAGCCGGUCCGAGAGGAUGAACGGCCACAUUGGGACUGAGACACGGCCCAGACUCCUACGGGAGGCAGCAGUGGGGAAUCUUCCGCAAUGGACGAAAG